CCGACCCUUUCUCUCUCUCCUCGUCCCCGACCGGCAGAAAACAGAGCAAAUCUUCUCCUUAAUUGUUCUUCCUCCUCCGGCCACCAAAUCACCCCAAACAAGUUCCUAUAGCUUCGUAUCAACCUCAGGAAGACACCAGUACCAAGAUUUAGUCGCCUCGUGCACCGUACAAGGUGGUGGAACGCAAAAACCCGGAGAGGCCGAAAUCGGUUCCAACCGAGUUUUCUCCCAACCCCGACGACCAAAGUUCGUGAAAUUUGGAUGGUAAACACUCCUUGAGGUGCAGAAUACACGGCGUGAAGGAGAGCUCGAAAAUCUCAGCGUAGACCGGCGAACGGAGCUUCGCCGGAAAUCUGGAACAAAAUCCGGCGAAACCGGACUGUAAAAGGUGAUUUCCGGAACGAUCCGUGAAUUGUGUUUUGGGAGCUUUUGAGAAGACGCAGUGGGACUAGAGGUCAGGAGAAUCAGGGAGGUGAUCGAGCUGCAUAAGGCAGCAGAGUCGAGUUCAGCACUUAUUCUAUUUUGGUGUGUUUUGUAGACUCUCUUGAGCGUAGCAUUUUAUUUAAGUAAGUAUUGUAAUAAUCGACUCGAGACAUAGUUUGCUACUAGGUUAGUAUUGUGGGUUGUGUGUUGCUGUUUAUAUGAAAAAAAUUCAGGACGUUAUUUAUUUUA